AUUGAACGCUGGCGGCAGGCCUAACACAUGCAAGUCGAGCGGAUGAAGGGAGCUUGCUCCUGGAUUCAGCGGCGGACGGGUGAGUAAUGCCUAGGAAUCUGCCUGGUAGUGGGGGAUAACGUCCGGAAACGGGCGCUAAUACCGCAUACGUCCUGUGGGAGAAAGUUGGUGAUCUUCGGACCUCACGCUAUCAGAUGAGCCUAGGUCGGAUUAGCUAGUUGGUGGGGUAAAGGCCUACCAAGGCGACGAUCCGUAACUGGUCUGAGAGGAUGAUCAGUCACACUGGAACUGAGACACGGACCAGACUACUACGGGAGGCAGCAGAGGGGAAUAUUGGACAAUGGGCGAAAGCCUGAUCCAGCAAUGCCGCGUGUGUGAAGAAGGUCUUCGGAUUGUAAAGCACUUUAAGUUGGGAGGAAGGGCAGUAAGUUAAUACCUUGCUGUAUUGACGUUAACAACAGAAUAAGCACCGGCUAACUUCGUG
rnacentral:rRNA from 1 species